GCCCCACUACACAUGGUCUAAAGCUUCACAACCACACUUCUCUCAAAUGAAAACACACACAAUUCAACCUACCACAAUUCUCUGAAACCCUAAAUCCUCUAGAUGUUUAUGUGAAAUCGAUCUUCCAUAUGAUCCAAUCCAUCUUCUUCUUUGAUUCAAGUUUCUCUCACUUUACUUUUCAUUGCAAACCCUAGCCAAACCUUUGCAUCAUCAUCCUUCAAUUGUUCUUCGUCAAUUCAUCAUUCCCAAUGACCAGGUCUGCAUUUUUUUUCCUUUUAUGGUUCAUUCAAAACCUCCUGCUGUUGCUGCUACUGAUGAAAGUUUUGGGAAAUUUGAGACAUUUCAAGAAUCUGGAUCAAAGCCAGAGAUGGAGUCCGUCAAUAAAAAAAUUUGUGAGAUUAACAUUUUAUAUGUUAUAGUUGCAAAUUUACGCUCUCUACCUUUUGGAAACUGUAUAUUAGACUGGCAAUUACGUUAAGAACGAUAUUGCUUCAGUGUUGUGGUGUUUUCAUCGAGGUUAAGAGAAGCGAAGUUCGAGUGGAAGGAUUGGAGGCAUUUGAUUAUCUUGACAAGUUGAAGAAUAGGGAGAAAUAUACAAAACAAGAGGAUGCUAUAACCCUUGAAACAAAGAUAAUGUUGUUAUCUCUUUGAUUACUUUGCCAAAGUUAAGGUUUAUGUGGUGUUAAUUGUUUACCUAGGUGGACAAUCUAAUCACACCAUCAAAGAUUCCCACCGUGAAUCAUGAAAGGAUACACACAUUUGUCGUUCAGAAAGAUGGGAUGGACGAUGCUGGUGAGCAUUUGCAUUUAUCAUUGUCCUGAAACCUUUUUAUAAAGAAGCAUCACAGGGGUGUUCAUAAACUGUUGAGACCGACCAGACUGCCUAAAUCAAAGCAAAUUCGACAGUUCAAUUUCGGGUUUGGAACUUGGAACCAGCCAUUUUCCUUUAUCAUUUAUAUUACUCUUUUAUAUUUUUGAAUAUGUCGUUUUGCAAAUCAAAUAUUUUCUUGAACCAUGUUUAUUAAUUUUAAAAUAUUUAUACAAACCACCAACUUUGAAUUAACAAAAAAAUCAAACCGAACUGAUGUGUCCGGUUUAGCUUAGUGUUUUAUUAAAACCAGCGAACCGUGAACGCCUCUAUUCUCAUCCACCAUCAACUAAACUGCAUGACCUGUUUCCAAUCAACCUUUUCACUAACGUUUUUAAAAUUAGUGGUGUGGAACCCAUGGGAUAAGAAGGCAAAAAAUAUGGCUGAUUUAGGAGACAAUGAGUACAAACACAUGCUUUGUGUGUAGGCAACAACAAUUGAAAGCCAAUUUACACUAAAGCCCGGUGAAGUAUGGAAGUAUGGAAACUUUAGUGAUUAUAGAUCUCUUUUAUUUCUCACAUAAACAACUACUGACUCAACUAACAUUGAAGUAUAAGAAAAUGAUUACAUAUAUUCAUAAAUAACUUUUUUUAUACGUUUUACAUUGUUCAACCUGUGUAAGUUCUAACCGCCGGAAGUCACAUAGAUGCUCACUUUCUUUUGACAAGGCUAUCUCCAGGCCACACUUUUGCAUGAGGGAAGCCACCAUCUACUUACCACAUGUUGGAGCAUGUUUAUUUAAGCAAAAAAGGGCUUAAAUCUGGUGAUUCUCUUUUGUUUGUCAGGUGUGGGAGAAGGAUGUCACAUAGAAAGUUUGGGUACCCUAGCCAUAGUCCCGUGGAUUUCUUUCCAGGAAGUGUGCUGCUCACCACAAAGAAAAAGCGCAAUCAGAGCAUAGGUAUUGAUUUUUAGGUUAUGCUCUUCAUCAAGUGGGGUUUUUUGAUAGAGCAAUCAGAGCGUAGGUAUAUCUUUUUUUUGUCAACAUGGCUUUCUUUAGAUCUUAUCCAUUCAACUUAGAUUUUAUAAACAUAUAUUUCAUAGCCAAAUUUUACAGAUCAAUUUCUAAACUAAUGAGUUAUCAUAGACGUAUUAAAGAGGGAGUGAAAUUGGGAGUGGAGGUUCCCAUUAUAUGAAGAAACAAGAACUUUGAAUGUAGAUAAAAUGGACAAAGAAAGAAGAUGAGAUAUGGGUAGGGGUUGUGUUUAUCGACUUGGUGUGGUUUCCAUGUUACAAGAUUAAACUGAUUAGAUUACAGCAUGGAUUUUAUUGCUAAUGGAUGAAAUUUCAGGUUGCACACGAGCAUAUUAAAGCUGCUGUUAAAUAGCACACAAGAGCAUAUUAAAGCUGCUGUUAGCAUAUUCCAUUGAGAUGUGUUUGAGUUUUAAUGAUCAAAUAGUUGUCUAUUUAGAAUUAAAAUUGGCGAGAGUUGGUUCUUUUCAUAGAAAAAGAUGAACAUGUGUAUCAUGUAACUGUGUAAAAUUGUAACAUUAUAACAUUUUUGAGAUAAAAAGAAAACUAAAAAUUUUAUCUCAAAUUUUAGUUUUGACUUUUGAAAACA